UUUGUUGAGCUGAUAGAGACCACUAAUUAAUUUUGGACUACCACAAUAUUUUGAGGAUGUCUGGAUCGGACUGUAUCGCGUUGGUAAACACUCCAACUCAACCCCACUAGAGAUGAUGAAUUGGGCAUGGAGUGAUGGCUCUACUUCUCAAUAUCGCUACUGGGACGAAGGAGAGCCCAACAAUGCCAACAGUGAGAUGAACUGUGUUGAACUCCUCCAUGAGGCAGGUUACUUGUACUGGAAUGAUGAAGACUGUGAAGUGAAGCAACGUUUCAUCUGCCAGUACAAAAUCCAAAAAGUUAAUAUGGAAUUCCUGAAGGCUGUUCAGCUUGAGUCAGAGGUGUAGCCCUGAAGUCCCACAACUAAAGGGCCUGAACAGAGAAAAGGAUCUUCCCUGAAAAGAUCCCAAGUUAUAUAUGUCAGUGCCCUCAGAUUCAUGGACGCAGCUUCUUGACUGGCUAUGUUGAGUUUCUUUAUGUUUCCUAAAUGUACAAUAGUUGAAGACCAAAUAAACAUC